rnacentral:lncRNA from 1 species
AGGCAUGGUGGCACGUGCCUGUAGUCCCAGCUAUUCAGGGAGGCUGAGAUGGGAGAAUCACCUGAGCCUGGGAAGUCAAGGCUGCAGUGAGCUGAGAUUAGCCCAGGCAAUUGGAGUGAGACCCUGUCUACAAAAAAAAAAAAAAAGAAGAAGAAGAAAACCUGGUUACUAGGGCAACUCUGCCACUAUUGUUUGUCUAACCUUGGUCCAUUUUCUCAUAAAAAACUAACUUCACUAUAUAUGUAUAAAAUAUCUUCUACCUAGAAUAUUUUGAAAUUUCUUGAAUUCUAAAGGGUCUGAAUGUUUUUAGGACAUAUAUCCACAUGAAAUAAGAUGGUUAACCAUAGUAGAGAUGGGGUUUCACCGUGUUAGCCAGGAUGGUCU